AAGAGCCUGAGAUAUUGGUACGGUUCAAUCAGAAGACAGUGCUUUAUAUUCAUUCAUUCCAAAAGCUCUGUGUUAUUUGAUUGAGCCGUGCCAAUAUCACGGGCAAACAC
rfam:Lupinus angustifolius cultivar Tanjil chromosome LG12, whole genome shotgun sequence.